AGAGAUCGAGCGUGAGAAACGCAAGGAACAGACCUGGAAGCACGAUGAUGACAAGGAACUCACAGGGCCCGAUGUGAAGUUCUGAAUCCGUUUUGCGAAAAGCCCCGCAAUUGCGGGGCUUU
rnacentral:sRNA from 1 species